rnacentral:tRNA from 1 species
GUCUGUGUAGCCCAAUGGUCGAGGCGGCUGGAUAUAAACAGCAGACUCUCGGUUCGAUUCCGAGCACAGGCG